rnacentral:siRNA from 1 species
AGACUUUUUUGGUGGAUUUGGAUA